GCAUGUGGGAUCUUAGCUCCCCAACCAGGGAUCAAACCUGCACCCCCUGCAUUGGAAGGUGAAGUCUCAACCACUGGACUGCCAGGGAAGUCCCCCUAUGUUCACUUUUAAUAAUUGCUGUGUCCUGCAGAUUUUCAUCUAUUUUUCUUUAAGCAAAAUUUUUGCCUGGAAAUUCUGGACCACCUUAUAGUUCUUUGAUGCUUCUAUGAGGAUUUUUUAAAAAUUUGGUGAGUGGCCGAGAUGGUGGAAUAAGAAGACCCUGAGCUCAUCUCCUUCCAUGGGCACACCAGAACUACAACUGUUUAUACGCAGCAACUAUUGAUGAGAAUGACAUGAAGACUAGCAGAAAAGAUCUUCUGCAACUAAAGAUAAAAUGAAGGAACCAUGAGACAAGUAGGAAGGGUGGAGACGCAGUAUAGUCAAGACCUAUACCCCCAGGUUGGUGCUUUUCUUUUGCAAACAUCCUGGUAUGGCUCUUCCAGCACUUGUGAGGAAUCCCUAAGAAGUACGCGGGCCUCUCACUGCUGUGGCCUCUCCCGUUGCGGA